rnacentral:siRNA from 1 species
UUAAAAGCCAAUGACAGCCAUUGU